AGUGAACGCUGGCGGUAGGCCUAACACAUGCAAGUCGAACGGCAGCACAGUAAGAGCUUGCUCUUUCGGGUGGCGAGUGGCGGACGGGUGAGGAAUACAUCGGAAUCUACUUUUUCGUGGGGGAUAACGUAGGGAAACUUACGCUAAUACCGCAUACGACCUACGGGUGAAAGCAGGGGAUCUUCGGACCUUGCGCGAUUGAAUGAGCCGAUGUCGGAUUAGCUAGUUGGCGGGGUAAAGGCCCACCAAGGCGACGAUCCGUAGCUGGUCUGAGAGGAUGAUCAGCCACACUGGAACUGAGACACGGUCCAGACUCCUACGGGAGGCAGCAGUGGGGAAUAUUGGACAAUGGGCGCAAGCCUGAUACAGCCAUACCGCGUGGGUGAAGAAGGCCUUCGGGUUGUAAAGCCCUUUUGUUGGGAAAGAAAAGCAGCAGGUUAAUACCCCGCUGUUCUGACGGUACCCAAAGAAUAAGCACCGGCUAACUUCGUG
rnacentral:rRNA from 1 species